GAUGAACGCUGGCGGCGUGCCUAAUACAUGCAAGUCGAGCGAACAGACGAGGAGCUUGCUCCUCUGACGUUAGCGGCGGACGGGUGAGUAACACGUGGAUAACCUACCUAUAAGACUGGGAUAACUUCGGGAAACCGGAGCUAAUACCGGAUAAUAUAUUGAACCGCAUGGUUCAAUAGUGAAAGACGGUUUUGCUGUCACUUAUAGAUGGAUCCGCGCCGCAUUAGCUAGUUGGUAAGGUAACGGCUUACCAAGGCAACGAUGCGUAGCCGACCUGAGAGGGUGAUCGGCCACACUGGAACUGAGACACGGUCCAGACUCCUACGGGAGGCAGCAGUAGGGAAUCUUCCGCAAUAGGCGAGAGCCUGACGGAGCAACGCCGCGUGAGUGAUGAAGGUCUUCGGAUCGUAAAACUCUGUUAUUAGGGAAGAACAAAUGUGUAAGUAACUAUGCACGUCUUGACGGUACCUAAUCAGAAAGCCACGGCUAACUACGUG
rnacentral:rRNA from 1 species